UACGUAGGGUGCAAGCGUUGUCCGGAAUUAUUGGGCGUAAAGGGCUCGUAGGCGGUCUGUCGCGUCGGGCGUGAAAACUCAGGGCUUAACCCUGAGCCUGCUUCCGAUACGGGCAGACUAGAGGUAUGCAGGGGAGAACGGAAUUCCUGGUGUAGCGGUGAAAUGCGCAGAUAUCAGGAGGAACACCGGUGGCGAAGGCGGUUCUCUGGGCAUUACCUGACGCUGAGGAGCGAAAGUGUGGGGAGCGAACAGG
rnacentral:rRNA from 1 species